rnacentral:tRNA from 1 species
UUUUAAUAGCUUAUUUAGAGCAUAAUAUUGAAGAUAUUAAGGAAGUUUUAGACUUUAGAAUAU